GGUUUAUAUUUGUCCAUCAAAAAGUGCAUGCUUUUAAAUGCAAACCAUUUAGAAUUAUAAAUAGAUUCGGCACUGCUGCCUGACUUCGUACUCAUUGUUUUUCUCCCGGCGGUAAGAUGCAAGAAGCGAGUCCUUUUUUAUUUUAACUCUUCAACAUUACAUUCCAGUUGUUUUGCGAUUUCCCGCCAAGCAUCUUGUUUGUAAGUUGUAUUUUUAUAGUUUUCAUACGUCGGAUCCCACAGGCAUCUGAAAUUGCGGUAGGCUUCUAUCAUUAAUAAACAUUUUUCUUGAGACCACUCCAUAAUUUAAUCGAUAAGAUACGUAAACAAUCGCUAGAACACAAGAACGCUUUGAAAAGACCGCUCAGUGGCGCGAGCACGUCCGAACACGCUAGAACGCUCUAAGCAACUGUUCGCGCGCUCUUGCGCCGUUUUGCGUGUUUACAUCAAGCGAACGAGCAUUCUUAGAAUAUUCUAUAGAAUCUUUGCGAACGCACUAAGAACAACGAAAGAAUGCUCUACGCCUGUUUACACUAGAAGAAUUUGAUGUAGUGGGGAUAGAAUGAGCAUUCGCUCGUUUGAUGUAAAUCGACCUUUAAAUCAGUAUGAUCUUAUACGUCACUAAGCGAAGCGAGUUUUUGUUUUUGUGUCGGAAUUAUCGGAAAUUAAUGGAAUGUGUUAAUUCUAUAGUGAUAUUAAAUAGACUAGCAGUGUUUUUAAGAUGAAGAGACUGAGGGCGGCCCGGUUAAAUGCCAUUAUGGAUAAUAUAGGAGAAAUAAUUCAUGCAGAACCGGAAAAAUGUCCCCAAGGAUUGCCGAACAAACAUUACUCCGACGAUGACGAAUUUGAAAUUGCUGUUGACUUCUCGCCGGACGUGUCAGUGUAUAUACCAAGUCCAGAUCAACAUACAUAUACCGUCUUCCAUCGAAAAUGAAGAUUUCACAGACCUCGUUGGUUUGGACACAACUCUACAGCCUGAAAACAAUUCAGAUUCUAUAUUGACGUCACUACAACUACUUUAGAUGAUGGUGAUAAUACCAUAACAGCUAUCUGCCAAAGUCCCGAUAUAAACUCAAGGCCUGAAACUUCUGCCGCAAGUGUAGACGAAGUUUCAUCAUCAUUUUCUACUAAUAAGCAGAAAUUGUUGACAAGAAAACGGAUUCGGAGUGAACAAGAACAUCAAGAUGUAAAGAGUAAGAAAUUGAAGAACUCGGAAGAAAGCUAUAUGGGAUGCAGAUCUAAAAAAAUAUACGAAAAAAAAAGAUUACAAGAGGAUGUAAAUGCGCAAAAAAAUGUGAAGAAAAAUUUACAUUGAGCCAGAGAGAAGACAUUAUGCAGCAGUAUUAUAGAUUAGGAGAUCAUGAGCGGCAAUGGCAAUUUAUUGUUAGUUACACGACUGUUGUUGAGAACAGUUGAACAGUUGAACAGAGAACUUAACGUUGAGAAGGUCAAAAGAAUCAAGUUAGAUCGAAAGAAUAAUCGCACCCAAACCGUCAAAUACUAUUUUGAUUUACAGAAAGAGAAAGUUCAAGUAUGUAGGACCUUUUUUGCAAGCACUUUGUGUAUUUCAAAUCAGAUAAUUCAUACAGAAAAGUACGAUCAACAUCAGCGAAAUAAAGAAAGUGUUCGACAGAUAAAGAAGAAAAAUAAUCUUGCAAUCGAUUGCAAACUACAAUAGCUAUAUUUGAUUUGCAAAAAGUGUUGAAUAUACCUCAAUCUGCUGUUGGAGUAUUCCACUACAAGAGAAAGUAUCCUAUUUACAAUUUCACGAUAUUUGACGCCACUCAACGCAAAGGUUAUUGCUACGUUUGGCAUGCGCAGAUUGCAAAAAGAGGAACAAUAGAAAUAGGUAGUUGUUUAUGGCAAUUUCUUAAUACAGAAAAACAGAGAGGCAUUAAAAACUUGUCAUUUUAUUGUGAUGGUUGCGCAGGGCAGAAUAAAAACAGAUUCAUAUUCGCUCUGUACAUGUUUGCUGUGAAAUGGAAAUCAAUGUAACCAGUUCAGAACCAUCCAUCUUGCGGUUUAAAUAUGAUUUUGACGCUGAGUAUUCUAAGCUCAACAUUGAACGCCAACAGAGAUCCAAACGGAGUGCUAGACAUGCUUCCAAUACACCUAAUAUUAAUGACAGUCCUGAAUUAAAAAUUGUAUACACCGAGACUCUGCCAAUACGUAAAGCCCUACAUUCUGAUCUCAUAAGUCUUUGUAAAUCAAAUGACAUACCAAGCUACUAUCAUGGUUUCUAUGAAUCUCUUAAAAUUAAUGAUGAGGCAGAAGCACCAACCGAUAACUGUGCUGAUGAAGACUAUUUUUUAAAAUAUUGAGUAACUAAUAAGAAGACUUUUUUUAAAUUAUAAUAUACUUUUGGAUAGAAAUUAGGUACUUAGAUUUCGCUUAUAUUUUAUUUGGAAUAUUAGGUUUUGUGAUUUUGAAUGUUUACUCGAAGAUGCCACUUAAUUAUGAAGAUUUGAGUAUGGAGAUAGAUAGAUUAAUUAUAGACUGAUUUAUUUGAGAGUGACUUUAUGUUAUGUUUGUUUGCUUAUGUUUUGUUUUCUUGAAAAGUAUUAUUUUUGUCAUCAUCUUUGUUGGCUUUAAAUGUUGGUACCAAAAUAAAUAACAGUUGAUUA